rnacentral:misc_RNA from 1 species
AAGGAAAAGAUUCUUCAAUUCUUCCUGAAAAAGAGCAUGCUUCUGCCCUUACUUUGGUUUGGGAUAUCAAUGCUGCUUUGGAGCCCUUGUGGUUGGAGCUGAGCACCUGCAUUAGCAAAAUCGAGAGCUAUUCAGAUUCUUUACCUGAUGUGCUGGCUUCAUUUCGAACUCCUACAGCGAAGCCAGCUGGUGUAGUACCCCAACUUCCUGCUGGUAGUCAGAAUAUAUUACCAUAUAUUGAAUCCUUUUUUGUGGUGUGUGAGAAGUUGCAUCCUGCCCAGCCUGGUUCAGA